UAGUAGCCGGCCUGAGAGGGUGAACGGCCACAUUGGGACUGAGACACGGCCCAAACUCCUACGGGAGGCAGCAG
rnacentral:rRNA from 1 species